GCGUAUUAGUGAAGAGGUUUCACAAGUGACUAGUGAUCACUUAAGCCUAGUUCGAGUCGAGGAUACGCUC
rnacentral:tRNA from 1 species